rnacentral:rRNA from 1 species
UAGUGAACCAGUACCGUGAGGGAAAGGCGAAAAGAACCCCGGCGAGGGGAGUGAAAAAGAACCUGAAACCGUGUACGUACAAGCAGUGGGAGCCCCACCACUAAGCCAGUGGUGAACUCCACAUACGCAUCCUUUGCUGAGGAUACGGUUAACGGAGCGCAAGCGACGUUCAACCUCAAAAGAAGCAGAGGGGGCUUAGUGGUGGGGUGACUGCGUACCUUUUGUAUAAUGGGUCAGCGACUUAUAUUCUGUAGCAAGGUUAACCGUAUAGGGGAGCCGGAGGGAAACCGAGUCUUAAC